UACGGAAGGCAGCAGUGGGGAAUAUUGCACAAUGGGCGCAAGCCUGAUGCAGCCAUGCCGCGUGUAUGAAGAAGGCCUUCGGGUUGUAAAGUACUUUCAGUCGUGAGGAAGGUGUUAAGGUUAAUAACCUUAGCAAUUGACGUUAGCGACGGAAGAAGCACCGGCUAACUCCGUGCCAGCAGCCGCGGUAAUACGGAGGGUGCGAGCGUUAAUCGGAAUUACUGGGCGUAAAGGGCACGCAGGCGGUUAAUUAAGUUGGAUGUGAAAUCCCCGGGCUUAACCUGGGAAUGGCAUUCAAGACUGGUUAGCUAGAGUCUUGUAGAGGGGGGUUAGAAUUCCAUGUGUAGCGGUGAAAUGCGUAGAGAUGUGGAGGAAUACCGGUGGCGAAGGCGGCCCCUGGACAAAGACUGACGCUCAUGUGCGAAAGCGUGGGGAGCAAACGAGGGAUUAGAUACC
rnacentral:rRNA from 1 species